AUGAACGCUAGCGGCAGGCUUAAUACAUGCAAGUCUGGGGCAGCAGGUUUGUAGCAAUACAAAUGCUGGCGACCGGCAAACGGGUGCGUAACACGUACGCAACUUACCCAUUACAGGGGAAUAGCCCAGGGAAACUUGGAUUUAAUACCCCAUAUUAUAUAAGAUUGGCAUCAGUCUUAUAUCAAAGCUUCGGCGGUAAUGGAUGGGCGUGCGGUUGAUUAGAUAGUUGGCGGGGUAACGGCCCACCAAGUCUACGAUCAAUAGCUGAUGUGAGAGCAUGAUCAGCCACACGGGCACUGAGACACGGGCCCGACUCCUACGGGAGGCAGCAGUAAGGAAUAUUGGGCAAUGGACGAAAGUCUGACCCAGCCAUGCCGCGUGAAGGAUGAAGGUCCUCUGGAUUGUAAACUUCUUUUAUCUGGGGCGAAAACCAUCCUUUCUAGGAUGCUUGACAGUACCAGAGGAAUAAGCACCGGCUAACUCCGUG
rnacentral:rRNA from 1 species